rnacentral:rRNA from 1 species
GGGUGCGAUCAUACCAGCACUAAUGCACCGGAUCCCAUCAGAACUCCGAAGUUCAGCUGCUUGGGCGAGACUAGCACUAGGAUGGGUGACCUCGUGGGAAGUCCUCGUGUUGCACCCC